rnacentral:rRNA from 1 species
CAAGUCGUACGAAGCUCUUUGAUCUUAUUGGCGGACGGGUGAGUAACACGUGAGAAUUUGCCCUUAGGAAGAGGAUAACAGCUGGAAACGGUUGCUAAUACUCUAUACGCCGAGAGGUAAAAGGAUUUAUCCACCUUAAGAAGAGCUCGCGUCUGAUUAGCUUGUUGGUAAGGUAAUGGCUUACCAAGGCGACGAUCAGUAGCUGGUUUGAGAGGACGACCAGCCACACUGGGACUGAGACACGGCCCAGACUCCUACGGGAGGCAGCAGUGGGGAAUUUUCCGCAAUGGGCGAAAGCCUGACGGAGCAAUACCGCGUGAGGGAUGAAAGCCUGUGGGUUGUAAACCUCUUUUCUCAAGGAAGAAGUUCUGACGGUACUUGAGGAAUAAGCAUCGGCUAACUCUGUGCCAGCAGCCGCGGUAAUACAGAGGAUGCAAGCGUUAUCCGGAAUCACUGGGCAUAAAGCGUCUGUAGGUUGCCUACCAAGUCUGCUGUUAAAGAUCAGGGCCUAACCCUGGGAAAGCAGUGGAAACUAGUAGGCUUGAGUGUGGUAGAGGUAGAGGGAAUUCCUGGUGUAGCGGUGAAAUGCGUAGAUAUUAGGAAGAACACCAAUGGCGAAAGCACUCUACUGGGCCAUAACUGACACUGAGAGACGACAGCUAGGGGAGCAAAUGGGAUUAGAUACCCCAGUAGUCCUAGCCGUAAACGAUGGAUACUAGGUGUUGCACGUAUUAACCCGUGCAGUAUCGUAGCUAAGGCGUUAAGUAUCCCGCCUGGGAAGUACGCUCGCAAGAGUGAAACUCAGAGGAAUUGACGG